AUGAACGCUAGCUACAGGCUUAACACAUGCAAGUCGAGGGGCAGCAUGGUCUUAGCUUGCUAAGGCCGAUGGCGACCGGCGCACGGGUGAGUAACACGUAUCCAACCUGCCGUCUACUCUUGGACAGCCUUCUGAAAGGAAGAUUAAUACAAGAUGGCAUCAUGAGUCCGCAUGUUCACAUGAUUAAAGGUAUUCCGGUAGACGAUGGGGAUGCGUUCCAUUAGAUAGUAGGCGGGGUAACGGCCCACCUAGUCUUCGAUGGAUAGGGGUUCUGAGAGGAAGGUCCCCCACAUUGGAACUGAGACACGGUCCAAACUCCUACGGGAGGCAGCAGUGAGGAAUAUUGGUCAAUGGGCGAGAGCCUGAACCAGCCAAGUAGCGUGAAGGAUGACUGCCCUAUGGGUUGUAAACUUCUUUUAUAAAGGAAUAAAGUCGGGUAUGGAUACCCGUUUGCAUGUACUUUAUGAAUAAGGAUCGGCUAACUCCGUGCCAGCAGCCGCGGUAAUACGGAGGAUCCGAGCGUUAUCCGGAUUUAUUGGGUUUAAAGGGAGCGUAGAUGGAUGUUUAAGUCAGUUGUGAAAGUUUGCGGCUCAACCGUAAAAUUGCAGUUGAUACUGGAUAUCUUGAGUGCAGUUGAGGCAGGCGGAAUUCGUGGUGUAGCGGUGAAAUGCUUAGAUAUCACGAAGAACUCCGAUUGCGAAGGCAGCCUGCUAAGCUGCAACUGACAUUGAGGCUCGAAAGUGUGGGUAUCAAACAGGAUUAGAUACCCUGGUAGUCCACACGGUAAACGAUGAAUACUCGCUGUUUGCGAUAUACUGCAAGCGGCCAAGCGAAAGCGUUAAGUAUUCCACCUGGGGAGUACGCCGGCAACGGUGAAACUCAAAGGAAUUGACGGGGGCCCGCACAAGCGGAGGAACAUGUGGUUUAAUUCGAUGAUACGCGAGGAACCUUACCCGGGCUUAAAUUGCAGAUGAAUUACGGUGAAAGCCGUAAGCCGCAAGGCAUCUGUGAAGGUGCUGCAUGGUUGUCGUCAGCUCGUGCCGUGAGGUGUCGGCUUAAGUGCCAUAACGAGCGCAACCCUUGUUGUCAGUUACUAACAGGUUCCGCUGAGGACUCUGACAAGACUGCCAUCGUAAGAUGUGAGGAAGGUGGGGAUGACGUCAAAUCAGCACGGCCCUUACGUCCGGGGCUACACACGUGUUACAAUGGGGGGUACAGAGGGCCGCUACCACGCGAGUGGAUGCCAAUCCCCAAAACCUCUCUCAGUUCGGACUGGAGUCUGCAACCCGACUCCACGAAGCUGGAUUCGCUAGUAAUCGCGCAUCAGCCACGGCGCGGUGAAUACGUUCCCGGGCCUUGUACACACCGCCCGUCAAGCCAUGGGAGCCGGGGGUACCUGAAGUGCGUAACCGCGAGGAGCGCCCUAGGGUAAAACUGGUUACUGGGGCU
rnacentral:rRNA from 1 species